CACCCCGCCAGGCUCCCACCCCUGGGGGUGGGCGGGAAGGGUCUCCACUCACCUCCUUGCCGGUGGUCUCACACGAUGUUGGGGUCUGAGUGGCAGGCGACUUCUCGUGCAGCCUUCUCGUUCGAGCAUACGACAGCUUAUGCAGGAGCAGGUGUUGCUGGUCCCAUUUUGCAGAUGGAGAAGCUGAGGUCAGAGGUCACAGCGCAGUGUUUCCUCGACGUCUUUGGCCAGGAGACCCUUUUUCACGUGAAGGCAAACCCGAAACCCAUGCUUCUUCAGCACGGCCCCCCCUCGGCAGGUUCUCACCCCACAGGCCGAGCUGACGCACAGGACGGGGCAUUCCAAAAGUUGUUGGAAAGCCGCAUUCAAGGAUGAGCUUAUUUUGGUGUGAACUUUUUUGAAAUCCAUGCCUCUUGAGGGGUCUCCAAAGGGUUUAUGGGAAAUUCAUUUUAUGGGAAAAAAAAAAAAGGUAUGAAUGGAUUUGAAAAAUUAUCUGCACCAAAAUCAAUUUGUAGCAAAUCUUUUGAAAUACGCCCCUCCUACCCCAGAGCCCCUGCGUGCCUGCCUCUAGUGCGGGUCUCCCAGGCCCUGGGCACCCCAGUCUGCAGGCGAGGUCUUACGUGGGUGUGGACUUGUCUGACUCCCAGGAGACCCUCGGCGCCCCGGGGCCCGGCCUCUGUGAAGACCCUCUGCCCAGCUUGAGCCGUCCAUGUUGAUCUGGGGUUUUGCCCAAGUGAGUAGAGAGCAGAGACUCGGGAGAGGGCUCCCAGAGUGGGAGAAAUGGCCCGUGUGACAUCGGGGAUGAGGGGACAGUAAACAGAUGAGCUUGGCUGGAGCAGAACGGUGUUUGGGAACAGUGACAGAUGAGGCUGAGACCUGGGAGAAGCAGCCACGGCAUUUAGAUGGGACGGCAGGGAGCCGCGGGGAGCCACGGGACAUCCUGGAGCCGGCAAGCGGCAGCCGGGAAGCAGCCUGGCCCGGGGGGGCUGCGGCAGGGGAGGGGCAGGCGCCAGCAGGCGUGCAGGGCUGCAGCCGAGGGGUGCCACUGCGGUGUAGGAAGAGGGCAGGGGCCCAGCUGUCCUGGCUCAGCCUUUGGUAGAAGGGGAAGAAUUCAAUUACGUCCACAUUCACAAAUCUCCAAGACUGCUUGGAGAGAAAGAAGCCAGCGACAUUCCGGGGAGAGAAGCAGAGUUCGCCCACAUCGGGGUCAGCACCAAGUUCAUUACCGGGGUGUCACCAUUACCAUUAAGCGGCUUCCUGUUCCACAGCCUGGGUGGGGUCUGCCGACCUCAGAGCGGCCGGUGUGUCGCUCCGUCUCCUGUGGGUCCGCCGUGCCUUCCCCACAAGCGCUAUUUCUUCUGCAGUAA
rnacentral:lncRNA from 1 species